UGGGGACAUUAGGGUCGAGACUUGCACAGCGCCGGGAGGUGAGCAGGUGAUGCGAACAGCAGAAGAGUCUGACAAGAGAGAUGUCAGCUCGGGGCCGCCGCUGGAAAUUUACAUCAUUUUACGGCCCGAAAUUUACAUCUCCUCACAGGAAUCUUGGAGCCGGCCACACAACGACCACAUCAGCCUAGACGGGCGAUAUCUAAACCCAGGAGGUGAUCGGUCUUCUGCUGACCUUUGUAAAGCAUUGAUCAGAUUAAGAUAUCCAUCGUCAUUGCGUAUUCUACAGGUGUCCAUAGCGCUUGUCAUGUCUUUGUUGUGUAGACGGUUCCACACAGAAUAACCCCACACAUAUCAACAAUGUUCUUGACAAUUAAAGCAAUAUGAAUGUUAUAUCAACAAGUUCAUCCUUUGAUUCGACAGGAAAUUGAAGAACAUUCAUUUUGCAAAUUGUAUUUGUUAAUUAACUUCAAAUAUGCACCAUAUUUGUAUAAUUACCAAGAUUUAUGAUUUCUGGUUUUAAAUUUUGUUUAUAUUAAUCCUUACGAAAGGCAUGCAAAUUGUUUAAAUUUUUAUGUUGAAACAAUGAUAUUACAAAACUAAACACUGCAGGAAAUAUAACUGUUUUUGUAUUGUGCAAAGUACGAGAGAGUCAUCUACAUCAAUUUAGCAUAGACUUCUCCCAAAAGCUGUCAGGCUAAGUUUCUGUUCUAUUCUACAUCGCAGAAAACUUUUCCAUUAUUUAUUAGUAUAAUGUAUAUUUUGAAAUUUACGAUACGAUCAUGUUUUUUUCUUCCUUCACAUAUUCAAAUUGAUGCUACUGUGUGUUCAUUUAUAGACAAUAAAAAUUCAUUCUAGUUUGAAUAAAUUUGUAUAUUCUGGUUAUA